ensembl:lncRNA
GAUUUGAAUCAGGUGUGUUUGAUUAAGGUGACAUGGAAAACAUGCGGUGUUGGGGGGCCUCCAGCAACGUGGUUGGGAACCACUGCCUUGGAGCAUAUCUUGAGUUGCUGCCCUAAAGCCCUAGGAGAAGGGAGGUAUACGUGGCGCCAUGACCAGGUGCUGUAGGCAGUAGCUGACACCAUCUUCUCUGGAAUCCAUACAUCACCAGCAACCUGCAAGUCAUAACAUAGACUUUGUCAGGGCUGGGGAAACACCUCAGCAGAAUACAAGGUCCCAACAGAACUUCUAGCCAAGGCUUGUGACUGGCAGUUGAGAGUGGACCUUGGGAGGUAGCUCAAGUUUCCAGAGCAGAUUGCAAGGACAUCACUCAGCCCUGACCUGGUCUUAACAUCUGAUGCCUCAAAGUAAGUGGUGCUGCUGGAGUUAACAGUUCCCUGGGAGGAGAAGAUAUAGGAGGCCCAUGAGCGGAAGAGAGCUAACUACCACGAGCUAGUGGAAGCUUGCAGAGGAAGUUGUUGAAGGACCUGCUGUGAACCUAUCGAGGUGGGAUGCAGGGGAUUUUUUUAGGGCAGUCUCUUUAUCGAGCCUUCACGCUCCUUGGUAUUAGAGGUUUACUGAUCAUCGCCGGUUGGGUCACCCAGGUGAGGGUGUCUGAUGAUCAAAGACCCGAAACAUCCUAUGAUCCUGGGUUCAUCACUGAGGAUGUGUCCAAGCCGCACCCUCCAGACAUAGAUGGUGUUUCUUCAAACUCAGUCAUGACUGGCACAGAAAGAUGGAGGGAAAAACAUCCAUAAAACUGUGGCAAAGGACUCUCAAUUUUCCAUCUCCAUCUCAACUCAAUUUUCCGUUUCACUUGCAAUCCAUAUACAGCACCUGCUACACUUUUUCAAUCACUAAAUAGAGUGGGACAUUCUAAAACACUUAAAGGUGUAGUAGCCAAUGUUGACAUUUGAAAUCACCAAAACAAACACGCCCAUACCCCAAAAAUUUCUAGCCCCUAUUUUGAUAGCUCUGCCCCACACAUUCGUACGCAACCCAGGCAAUGAUUCGUUCUGUGAAACAAAGCAAAACCAAUGUUACACCAUGUCUACACAAGACGCGAGUGGCGCGGCACAACAAAAUACUAUAGAACUCAUUAUAAUCAGUGAUGCUCUCCACACCAUAGAUACUGUGUAUAUAUACAUAUCUAUGGUCUACACUGUAUUGUAUUGUAUUACGUAUUGACACAAAUUUCAAAUGAUUUUCAAAUGUCGCAUUGUUGCGUCCAGUGUACUAGACAGACUUUAGUUGUUACGGCGCAGACACGGUGUUACUCACCUAUCGAGAAGUAACAAAGCAACCUUGGCAUCCGAUCACAGGUCUUCCACUCCUUGAGUUCUCUCCAGCGCCGGCAAGGUAAUCCGAUAUUUACAUGGGUCUUACUUCUUGCCUUAUUGCCUUAAGCCUUCUUUUGUUCCGCAGACAUUUUCCUCUUUUGUUUUUUAUCCGCCAUCUCUAUCUUUCUGUCACUCGGCUCAGCUUAUGUUCGUCAUGUGCACUGAACGCUCUCUCUUCCACAAAAUGAGUAGACACGCCCCUUUCUGCUGAUUGCUACAAGUUUGUUUUGCUACUCGGCCUGAAUCAGUUUUCUAAAGCAUUUUUUGAAAAAUUGCUUACCCCACCUUUACCAUGAAAAAUAUUUAACAUUCCUUUAUGUACUAAGAUAGUGAUAAAAAAAAAAAGAUCAAAUUCAAUAUACACAUUACUGGUGAAGCAUACUUUAUACAGGCAAGAAGAUGAAUCCGAAAUAUGAACACAACAUGCUGAAUUGGUAAAAAAAAAAAAAAAAAAAAACGCUUGUGUGAAAUUCAUUCAUACUCUGGAUGCAUCUGUUUGUCCAUAUUUAGUAUGUAUCAAUGUAUACUGAAUUUGAAUAUUUUAAUAUAGGCCUAUGUCUUAGUACAUU